rnacentral:rRNA from 1 species
CUGGACCUCAGCUCAGGCGUGACUACCCGCUGAAUUUAAGCAUAUCAAUAAGCGGAGGAAAAGAACCCACCAGGGAUUCCCCCAGUAACGGCGAGCGAAGCGGGAAUAGC